UCAUAGUGCAAUCAUCUUACUGUAUUUCUGCUCCCCUAAUUUGAAACAGAUUCAGCCUUGUCCAGAUGGCUUCCUGUAUACACAAUGCCAGUCAGCAGGCUGGGCUGUCCUUGUUAGACUGCCUGGCAAUGCUGGAAUCUUGGAGACAACAGCAUGCUUAUGUCACAAGCCACAUCUGUCACGGCAGGAUUUGUGUUUUUCCUCAGGUUAAUAAUAACUGAUGGAGGCACCAAGUCGCUUUCCCUUAAAAGCACGGAGUCUGAAUAUCAGUUUAGGAAGAGGUGCUUCAAAGAUCAAAACCAGGCCUGUGACAGUGACAUAAUUGCUCAUCAUUGAGACCAAGAAAAUGCAUCACAAGGUUAAAAGUUGCUGAAACUAUUUGAUCCAGAAAUGAUGCCAAAAACUUUACCAAAAAAUUCCUUUAAUUCUCACAAAACCCUAUAAGAAUAAGAAUACUUAGUAAGAACCAAGA